ensembl:lncRNA
GAUCACAGGGGCAUCUCUGAAGCUGGGAAAACAGAGCUCUAGAAAGGAUGUUCCGCUUCCUCCAGCUUCCAGUUCCAAGGUUGAGUUCCCAGAUGUGAGAAAAGUCUCUAGACUCAUCGAGUCCACAAAAUGUAAUCUCACGUCUAUGCAGACUCAAGAAGGCACCGUGUCCUUCUAUUGCCAAAGAGGAAACAUCUGGCUGUGUCAAGAGACGGCCCUGCAUCCUCUCAACCUUAAGUCCCUGAGGCUGGAUUCACACAGCAGAGUCUGAAGUUGAGCAGAUAAAGUUGAUUCUGUGGCUCCACUCAGAAGGAUGUGGUGCUGACAGGCCACUCCACCUUCAAGGCUGACGUGAUGGGAACCAAAGUGAGACAGAGGAACCACAAAGCAUUCAAAGAGGCCGAGAAGUUUAUCUCACUCAGCACGUUGAAUAGAUGGAGCUCCUGGUUUUGUGGCCCCCCAAGAAACCAUGCUCCCGCAUAGUCACAUCUUUGUGUUGUCUCCUCCUGCAUGGCUUCGACCAGUCAACUGCAGUAGAAAUGACAUUAUACAACCCCCAAGGAAGGCCUUGAGAAGACUUGAAGCUUCAGGUUUGCCUUCUUGGAAUGUUCGCACUUCUGUGUAAGAAAACAUGGCCUAGACAUUAAAUGAUAACCA